rnacentral:rRNA from 1 species
AGCAGCCGCGGUAAUUCCAGCUCCAAUAGCGUAUAUUAAAGUUGUUGCAGUUAAAAAGCUCGUAGUUGAAUUUCGGGGUCAGUAGGUUGGUCGUGCCACCGGUACGUACUGGUCUCACUGAUUCCUCCUUCCUGAUGAGCUGUAAUGCCAUUAAUUUGGUGUUGCAGGGAAUCUGGACUGUUACUUUGAAAAAAUUAGAGUGUUUAAAGCAGGCUAACGCUUGAAUACAUUAGCAUGGAAUAAUGAAAUAGGACGUUCGAUCCUAUUUUGUUGGUUUCUAGGAUUGACGUAAUGAUUAAUAGGGAUAGUUGGGGGCAUUAGUAUUCAAUUGUCAGAGGUGAAAUUCUUGGAUUUAUUGAAGACUAACUACUGCGAAAGCAUUUGCCAAGGAUGUUUUCAUUAAUCAAGAACGAAAGUUAGGGAUCGAAGACGAUCAGAUACCGUCGUAGU